rnacentral:rRNA from 1 species
AGUGAACGCUGGCGGUAGGCCUAACACAUGCAAGUCGAACGGCAGCACAGUAAGAGCUUGCUCUUACGGGUGGCGAGUGGCGGACGAGUGAGGAAUACAUCGGAAUCUACUUUUUCGUGGGGGAUAACGUAGGGAAACUUACGCUAAUACCGCAUACGACCUACGGGUGAAAGCAGGGGAUCUUCGGACCUUGCGCGAUUGAAUGAGCCGAUGUCGGAUUAGCUAGUUGGCGGGGUAAAGGCCCACCAAGGCGACGAUCCGUAGCUGGCCUGAGAGGAUGAUCAGCCACACUGGAACUGAGACACGGUCCAGACUCCUACGGGAGGCAGCAGUGGGGAAUAUUGGACAAUGGGCGAAAGCCUGAUCCAGCCAUACCGCGUGGGUGAAGAAGGCCUUCGGGUUGUAAAGCCCUUUUGUUGGGAAAGAAAAGCAGCAGGUUAAUACCCCGCUGUUCUGACGGUACCCAAAGAAUAAGCACCGGCUAACUUCGUG